UGAAGCUGGAAUUGCUAGUAAUGGCAGGUCAGCAUACUGCCGUGAAUACGUUCCCGGGUCUUGUACACACCGCCCGUCACACCAUGGGAGUCAGCAACGCCCGAAGUCAGUGACCCAACCAUUAUAGGAGGGAGCUGCCGAAGGCGGGGCAGGUGACUGGGGUGAAGUCGUAACAAGGUACC
rnacentral:rRNA from 1 species